AACGAACGCUGGCGGCAUGCCUAACACAUGCAAGUCGAACGAGACCUUCGGGUCUAGUGGCGCACGGGUGCGUAACGCGUGGGAACCUGCCCUUAGGUUCGGAAUAACUCCCCGAAAGGGGUGCUAAUACCGGAUAAUGUCUUCGGACCAAAGAUUUAUCGCCUUUGGAUGGGCCCGCGUUGGAUUAGCUAGUUGGUAGGGUAAAAGCCUACCAAGGCGACGAUCCAUAGCUGGUCUGAGAGGAUGAGCAGCCACACUGGGACUGAGACACGGCCCAGACUCCUACGGGAGGGAGCAGUGGGGAAUAUUGGACAAGGGGCGAAAGCCUGAUCCAGCAAUGCCGCGUGAGUGAUGAAGGCCUUAGGGUUGUAAAGCUCUUUUACCCGGGAUGAUAAUGACAGUACCGGGAGAAUAAGCACCGGCUAACUCCGUG
rnacentral:rRNA from 1 species